GGCCCUGCAAAGCAGCAUCGCGGUGGCGGAGCGUCGUUUGCGACGCCCAACACACAAAACAAGCGGUGAGUGCUUUGGGGUGGGGUGACUGCGUACCUUUUGUAUAAUGGGUCAGCGACUUAUAUUCUGUAGCAAGGUUAACCGUAUAGGGGAGCCGAAGGGAAACCGAGUCUUAACUGGGCGUUAAGUUGCAGGGUAUAGACCCGAAACCCGGUGAUCUAGCCAUGGGCAGGUUGAAGGUUGGGUAACACUAACUGGAGGACCGAACCGACUAAUGUUGAAAAAUUAGCGGAUGACUUGUGGCUGGGGGUGAAAGGCCAAUCAAACCGGGAGAUAGCUGGUUCUCCCCGAAAGCUAUUUAGGUAGCGCCUCGUGAACUCAUCUUCGGGGGUAGAGCACUGUUUCGGCUAGGGGGUCAUCCCGACUUACCAACCCGAUGCAAACUGCGAAUACCGAAGAAUGUUAUCACGGGAGACACACGGCGGGUGCUAACGUCCGUCGUGAAGAGGGAAACAACCCAGACCGCCAGCUAAGGUCCCAAAGUCACAGUUAAGUGGGAAACGAUGUGGGAAGGCUCAGACAGCCAGGAUGUUGGCUUAGAAGCAGCCAUCAUUUAAAGAAAGCGUAAUAGCUCACUGGUCGAGUCGGCCUGCGCGGAAGAUGUAACGGGGCUAAACUGUGCACCGAAGCUGCGGCAGCGACGCUUAUGCGUUGUUGGGUAGGGGAGCGUUCUGUAAGCCUGCGAAGGUGUCCUGUGAGGGAUGCUGGAGGUAUCAGAAGUGCGAAUGCUGACAUAAGUAACGAUAAUGCGGGUGAAAAGCCCGCUCGCCGGAAGACCAAGGGUUCCUGUCCAACGUUAAUCGGGGCAGGGUGAGUCGACCCCUAAGGCGAGGCCGAAAGGCGUAGUCGAUGGGAAACGGGUUAAUAUUCCCGUACUUGGUGUUACUGCGAAGGGGGGACGGAGAAGGCUAUGUUGGCCGGGCGACGGUUGUCCCGGUUUAAGCGUGUAGGCUGGUUUUCCAGGCAAAUCCGGAAAAUCAAG
rnacentral:rRNA from 1 species